GGAAGUUAAGAAACUGUUUCUUAACUUUUAACUUAAAAAACUAAGAACCGAUUUUUAAAGUCCUUAUUUAAGAAUCGGUUCUUAACUUUUUAAGUUAAAAGUUAAGAAACAGUUUCUUAACUUCC
rfam:Brassica napus, WGS project CCCW01000000 data, contig: 2623